rnacentral:rRNA from 1 species
CCUACGGGGGGCAGCAAUUAGGAAUCUUGCGCAAUGGGGGAAACCCUGACGCAGCGACGCCGCGUGGAGGACGAAGGAUUUCGGUUCGUAAACUCCUUUUAAGUGGGAAGAAAAAAAUGACGGUACCACUUGAAUAAGCCCCGGCUAACUACGUGCCAGCAGCCGCGGUAAUACGUAGGGGGCGAGCGUUGUCCGAAUUUACUGGGCGUAAAGAGCACGUAGGCGGUUAUUUAAGUAGGGGGUGAAAUCCCAGGGCUCAACCGGGAAACUGCCCCCUAAACUGGGGGACUUGAGAGAGGAAGAGGUGAGUGGAAUUCCUGGUGUAAGGGUGAAAUGUGUAGAUAUCGGGAGGAACACCGGUGGCGAAGGCGGCUCCCUGGCCCUUUUCUGACGCUGAGGUGCGAAAGCGUGGGGAGCGAACGGGAUUAGAUACCCCGGUAGU